GCUCGAACUCGACUCGACAGGCGAGCUACUCGAGCUCGAGUCGAGCCCGGGCUCGACUCGACUCGACUCGUUUGCAUCCCUCUCUUGCCAUAAGAUUUGGUGUUCGCUCAUCGAUUUGGUUGACUUGCCUGCAAGUGUUUAAUAAUUAAGCAUGACAAAGCAGGAAAUCAAGAAUGGAGGAGAAGAAAUGUUGAUCGACCGUCCUGACCAAGAACCUGUUAUUCCUGACGGCUUCAAUUCUAACCAUCCUUAUGCACUCACAGGCACGCACAAACUAGUGGUUAUUUCAUCUGUGAUCAUUCCACUUAAUUGUUUGAUGGGAAGCAUCCAGGUUGCGACAACUCCUACUUCGGCCAAAAAGAAUUUUCUUUCACUCUGGAUAAUGAUACUUAUCUGAGUUUCCAGUCUUUCAAUGGUGCAUCUGAGCUGGAAAAUGCAAUCAAAGAAAAGUGUCCAUUUAAAAUAUAUAUACGGCCUAUAUACACUAUAGAUGUAAGAUCUUGUUGUUUCUCAUAACUUUUAAUUAUAGCGUUUCUUUAACAUUUUCUUUUGUUUUCGUACUGACAAUGUAUCUGUCUUAAGGAACUAAGGAACUAGUUUGCUGUUUAUUAGUUCAUGUAGGCAACAUGAAACUAAGUGAGCAUGAAUACAUAAGCCCUAUAACAGUUACUAUUUAUUUGGAAAGUUAUAGGGUUUCCAUAUUAAGAAGGGGCACAAUGCCAGGAAGUUACUCUCAUUAUCAAUGAAAUAUCUACUAUUUCAGCCUUUUAUCUUUUGAUAUCCUCGGUAGGUCCUGCUGUGCUAUCAUUAUUUUGUUUUAGGUGGAGCUCAAAUUUUUGUCAUACAUAAGCCUCAAAUUUGAGCCUCUUAUCUUUUGUCUUACAUAAGCCCUCAAUUUUUUUUUAGGUGCAUGUGAUGUAUAAUGCAGACUGUAGUAUUGUGAUAAAAGUAAUAAAUUUGAGUUCAAAAUUUACAUAUAAUGGAAGUCUUAUUGGUUCAUGUAUCAUACAGUACAUAUGCUCCAUUUAUUGCCACAUUGUCCAGUUGCUGGAGCUUCAUAGCUAUAGUUAAAUUGCAUAUGCAGUGAUAUUGAAGAACUAAAGCAGAUUUGAUCUCUUUAUUUUGCAUCUUUAUGUUUUAUUAUGGGCUAGGUUCACAAUGCUCAUGUACAUUAGCAUGUGUAUUAUAUAUGAGCAUAGAUGCAUGGUUGAAAGUAAUAUGACGUAUUCUCGAUUUUGACACUGCCCAUUGAAUUUUAUGGUACAGAUGGUUUUUGUUUUAGUCAUAUUCUUUGGGUGUACAAUGGGUGUCUUGGUGUUCAUUGUUAGGUUUGUGAUGGGGUUUGUGAUGGAAAAGCGAGAAGGUAAUUCGAUAAAGAGUUGAAUUAUGUUUUCUUUUACUCACAUAUAUGUGUCAUGAGGCAAAGAAAGUUCAAUUGUACUGCCAUCACUCUAUGGGUUGACAAAUGAACAGAGAGGAGCUACUGAUGACUAUUUCAUGUAUACAAGGUGCUGUAUCCUGUUCUGGGAUAAAGUUGGAAUUGUGGGAGACUUUUGUUAGCAUUAAGUUUAAUUGAAGUUGUAUAUUUUGCAAUAUGUUCACAGCAAUGAAAAUAGUAAUAAGAUGUUUUCUCUGCCGGGUCCUGCACUUCAUUCUUUCCCAGUAUCAUAUACUGACGUUCUAAGGGAAUUCUUUGAGGAAAAACUGCUUUCAAGUCUACAAAUAUUUUCAAGUGAGGAAAGAUAAGAGAAGAUUCUAAGCAUGAUUCCUGAUGAGUGUGUACUGCAGAUAAUAUAUUCUUUUUGCCCCAACCCCCUUUUCUCUUACAUGGAAAGGUCUGCCAUUUCCUUUAAUAACUGAUGCUUUAUAACUUAUGUUUGCAGCUGUUACUUCUGAGCUUCAAGGGAAGUGGCUGGAGAAUAGGCGAUCCCCCAAUGACAUCAAUUUUGGUUUGUUUCUCGGUGGGAGCAACUAAAGCAUAUGCUGCAAUCAGGAAAAUAAAAGAAUGGGAGAAAACCACACUUGGGAAAUCAAUCAUGUUUUUCAGAUCAUCAUUCUUGCAGCCUCUGCUAAAAUCUUGAAAGGAGGAGAUUCAAAGUUUCUACAAUGCUAAACUACAGCUAACUAAGAAUUCUGAGUUGGUAGUGCUUUCAACAUUUCACGUUUCUCUAGAUUAAUUUACCAUCUCGUGUACUUUUACUAUUACUUUAAAAUUUAUAUUUCCUUUUCUACA